GAAGGGUGCAAGCGUUACUCGGAAUUACUGGGCGUAAAGCGUGCGUAGGUGGUUUGUUAAGUCUGAUGUGAAAGCCCUGGGCUCAACCUGGGAAUGGCAUUGGAUACUGGCGAGCUAGAGUGCGGUAGAGGGUAGUGGAAUUCCCGGUGUAGCAGUGAAAUGCGUAGAGAUCGGGAGGAACAUCUGAGGCGAAGGCGACUACCUGGACCAGCACUGACACUGAGGCACGAAAGCGUGGGGAGCAAGCAGGAUUAGAUACCCUGGUAGUCCACGCCCUAAACGAUGCGAACUGGAUGUUGGGAGCAAUUAGGCUCUCAGUAUCGAAGCUAACGCGUUAAGUUCGCCGCCUGGGGAGUACGGUCGCAAGACUG
rnacentral:rRNA from 1 species